GGCUCGUUGGUCUGGGGGUAUGAUUCUCAGCUUAGGGCGCGAGGUCCCGGGUUCAAAUCCCGGACGAGCCC
rnacentral:tRNA from 1 species